rnacentral:rRNA from 1 species
AUGAACGCUGGCGGCGUGCCUAAUACAUGCAAGUCGAGCGAACAGAUGAGGAGCUUGCUCCUCUGACGUUAGCGGCGGACGGGUGAGUAACACGUGGAUAACCUACCUAUAAGACUGGGAUAACUUCGGGAAACCGGAGCUAAUACCGGAUAAUAUAUUGAACCGCAUGGUUCAAUAGUGAAAGACGGUUUUGCUGUCACUUAUAGAUGGAUCCGCGCCGCAUUAGCUAGUUGGUAAGGUAACGGCUUACCAAGGCAACGAUGCGUAGCCGACCUGAGAGGGUGAUCGGCCACACUGGAACUGAGACACGGUCCAGACUCCUACGGGAGGCAGCAGUAGGGAAUCUUCCGAAAUGGGCGAAAGCCUGACGGAGCAACGCAGCGUGAGUGAUGAAGGUAUUCGGAUCGUAAAACUCUGUUAUUAGGGAAGAACAAAUGUGUAAGUAACUAUGCACGUCUUGACGGUACCUAAUCAGAAAGCCACGGCUAACUACGUG